UUCUCCCACCCUUGCCGGUACUGUUGCACCACCUUGUUGGUGAAGAACGGCACCAUCAUGAUCUGCCUCAUCUUCUGCCUGAUAGAGCAGAUAAUCGUGUGGCCCAACCAAUAUCUAAGUCUAAGCCCAAAGUGAAGCCCAAAUUCAAACUUGGUAUCAGAGCUGCUUUGACAAUGGCGACCUCUCACUCUGUUCUGCUGGUUGGGACCUCUAGUAGUCCUUCUACAGUCGCACAAAUCAAUUCGCAAGUCCCGACAAUGACAACCAAAGUCACUCCACUUCUUAGCAACUUGAACCAAGCUGGUGCGGUCAAGCUGGAUCGUACGAAUUAUAUUCUUUGGAGUUCACAUGUCCUCUCCAUUGUUAGAGGACAUAGGCUGGAUGGUUACUUGCUUGGUUUAAAGCAAUGUCCUAAUGAGUACACGGUGAUUGAUGAACAAGUUCAAGUUAACUCAGAGUAUGAAGAUUGGAUAGCAACAGAUCAGCUGUUAUAUGAUUGGCUUCUCGGAUCCAUGAAUACUGAUGUAAGUACACACUUACUUCAUUGUAGAACUGCUGCUGAACUCUAGAUUGGAGUUCAGCAACUCAUUGGUGCACAAACAAGAUCACGUUCCUUGCAGCUUAAAGGAGAUUUGCAGUGAGCUCAAAAAGGAAGUCUAAGCAUGGAAAAGUAUAUUAAUAAGAUGAAGGUUUUAUCUGAUAAUCUAGCUUUAUCAGGAAGUCCGAUUUCUACAGCUGAGUUGAUAAUGGCAACAUUGGUAGGACUAGAUUCAAAAUAUACUCCAAUUGUUGUGCAACUUGGAGAUAAAGAAAACCUUUCUUGGCUUGAAAUGCAGACAAAACUCUUGACAAAUGAAUCACGCCUGGAACGAGUUCAUCGUUCUGCUACAAUAGAUAUAGGCAAUGCUUUUGCUAAUUUUUCUAUUCAAACUAACUCAUAUGCUCCUCAAGCUUCAAACAAGGGAUUAUCUCGUGGUGGUAAUCGUGGAAAUUGUGGAUAUCAUGGACGAGGACGAUAUAGUGGUAAAAAUAAUAAACCAGUUUGUCAAGUCUGUACUAAGUCUGGUCAUAUUGCCUUUGACUGCUUUUAUAGGUACGACAAAAAUUUUACUAAGUAAGAAACUCAACCAUCUGCUGCCUAUUUUGCUUCACCCGAAGUUGUGAAUGAUCCAGCCUAGUAUUUUGACAAUAGUGCUACUCACCAUGUCACUAAUAAUGCUCUAAGUUCGUUUUCCUCUGGUUCUGGAAAUCUUGAAGUAGGAGGUAAUCAUAAACUUCCUAUAAAGCACAUUGCUCAUGCUCAAUUUUCUAAUGAUAUAGAUGCUUGUCUCAAGUUGAAAAAUAUUCUUAUGGUACCUGAUAUACAAAAGAAUCUCAUGAGUGUUCAUAAAAUAGCAUUUGAUAAUAAUGCUUCCAUUGUUUUUGACGCUUCUGGUUGUUAUGUGUACUUGCAACAGGGAAACCUCAUGAAGGAGGUCUAUAUUGUGCUGAUCAAACACCAGUGUUUGCUAAAAAUCAAGAAAGCAAUGCACAGGUGUACAACAUUGCUCUUCAAGAUGCUCUUAAGUCAUGGCAUAGGCGACUCGGUCAUUGUUCUACUAGAACAUUAAAGAAUGUAUUAAGUCAAUAUAACAUUCUUUCCACCAUUAAUGAGAAACUUGAUUUUUGUUCUGCAUGUCAGUACGGCAAAUCGCAUGCUCUCCCCUUUUCUCUUUCUAAUUCAAGAGCCUCUAUUCCACUUGAACUAAUAUAUUUAAACUUAUGGGGACUAGCACCGAUUGUUUCUUCUCAUGGGUUCUGCUACUAUGUUAGCUUUAUAGAUGAUUUUAGUCACUACACAUGGUUAUAUCCACUAAAAGCCAAAAGUGAUGCUUUGUCUGCUUUUAUCCAUUUCAAGCAUAUGGUAGAAAAUUAGUUUAAUCUAAAAAUCAAACAAUUUCAUAGUGAUAACGGUGGUGAAUACAAACGAUUUAUUCCCAUAUUUCAUGAAGCUAGAAUAAUUCCUCAAUAUUCCUAUCCAUAUACAUCAGCUCAAAACGGUUGAGCAGAGAGAAAACAUCGUCAUGUUAUAGAAAUGGGACUAAGUCUUUUGGCUUAGGCUCACAUGCCUUUUGUGUACUGGUGGGAAGCUUUUUCUACAAGUGUACAUAUCAUCAAUAGAUUACCCACUCCAAUUUUGUCAAAUAAGUCACCAUUUGAAGUUUUAUGGAAUAAAGUACCUAAUUAUGGUAAUCUCAAAGUAUUUGGCUGUGAGUGCUAUCCAUGUCUCAAACCUUACAACCAACAUAAACUUCAGUUUCACAGUGAUCGAUGCAUUUUUCUGGGCUACAGUGGCAGUCAUAAAGGCUUUAAGUGCAUGAACUCAGCUGGUCGAGUUUAUAUUUCUCAUCAUGUUAUUUUUAAUGAAGGUGCUUUUCCUUUUUCAGGAUACUUUAUUCCACAACAUCAUGAGGCUCUGAUUGUUUAGUCUAUUGGACAGUCUUCUGAAUGGUUUGAAGUCUUUGAGUUUACUCAAUCUGAUUCAGUUAUUGACUCAUCUUCAUCUUCUUCAUUUCCUGUUAUGACUACCUCUACUUCUUCUCAGAACGGUUCUGCUUCACCACCGAUAUCAGUAUCUUCUGAUUCUGCUGUUGUUUCAGAUCAGUCUAAUCAACUUUCUACUGCUCCUGCUUCCACACACUCCAUGGUUACUCGAUCACGGAAUGAUAUUUUUAAACCUAAGCAUCCAUUUGUGGGAAUAGUUAUUGGACCCGAUAAUAUUGAACCUCGUUCAGUCUCAAAAGCUCUUCAACGUACUUGUUGGAAACAAGCUAUGCAGUGUGAAUAUGAUGCUUUAAUUCGCAACAAGACUUGGGUCUUAGUUCCUUAUCAGCCUCAUUAUAAUUUGAUUGGUUGUAAAUGGGUUUGGCGCAGUAAGUACAAUCCUGAUGGUUCAGUGCUCACUCAUAAGGCUCGUUUAGUUGCAAAAGGCUUUCAUCAAGAGCCUGGACUCGACUUUAGGGAAACAUUUAGUCCUGUCAUCAAACCUUCAACCAUUCAUGUUGUCUUAACUCUGGCUACGUUGUUUAACUAGCCUAUACAUCAAAUGGACAUUAAUAAUGCAUGUCUAAAUGGAGUGCUUCAUGAAACUGUUUAUAUGGUGCAGCCCGAAGGUUUUGUGGAUCCUUCAAAUCCUACUCAUGUUUGUAAACUUGAAAAAGCUCUCUAUGGUCUUAAACAGGCUCCUCGUGCCUGGUAUGAUCAGCUUAAAGGCACCUUGCUUGACUGGGGAUUUAACCGAAGUUAUAGUGAUUCAUCUCUAUUUAUUUUCACCUCUCAAACUCAGAUACUUUUAGUAUUAGUUUAUGUUGAUGAUAUAUUGAUUACGGGUAAUGAUGCUUUGAGUAUUUCUAUGUUUACUGCCAAGUUGCACUCCUAUUAUGCAUUAAAAGAUAUGGGUCCUAUUCACUAUUUCCUGGGGUUUGAAGUUUUUCGUGAUUCUACUGGAUUCUAUCUAACUCAAUGUAAAUAUACAUCUGAUUUACUACAACGUUUUGAUAUGCUUGACUCUAAGCCUUGUCCUACGCCUAUGUGUUUGACUUCCUCACUUUCAGCUUAUAAUGGUUCUGUUUUUGCCACUCCAACUACGUAUCAUUAGGCUAUUAGUGCUUUACAGUAUCUCUACUAUUCACGACCUGAUAUCAGCUUUGCUAUCAACAAGUUAAGUCAGUUCAUGCAAACUCCUCUGGAUAUUCACUGGCAAGCCCUUAAGCAUCUCUUUCGAUAUCUUAAAGGUACCUCUGGUCUUGGAGUUCACUUGAAGAAGGCUUCCCCUUUAACUUUAACUGCUUUUUCAGAUGUUGACUGGGCUUCUAGUGUUGAUGAUCGUCACUCUAUUGGUGGUUAUCUGGUAUAUUUUGGUGAUUCUCUUAUUUCUUGGUCUUCCAAAAAGCAACAUGUUGUGGUUCGCUUGAGUACUGAAUCUGAGUAUCGUUCUCUUGCCAACACAUCUGCUGAGAUCCUUUGGCUUCAUUCUUCAUUAUCUGAGAUUAACUUUCCUUGUCAUCUGCCAUUGGUUAUCUGGUGUGAUAACACCAGUGCCACUUCCUUGGCUUCUAACCCAGUGUUUCAUACUUGCACAAAGCAUAUCGAGAUUGAUGCUCACUUUUUACGAGAUCAUGUUCUCAAUGGUCAUGUUUCCAUACAUUAUGUUCCCUUUGAAGACCAGCUUACUGACUGUUUAACUAAACCGCUGGGCUCUACUCGAUUUAUCUCUUUGCGUAACAAACUCGGCUUGGCCAUACCACCCACUCGUUUGAGGGGGGAUGAUAGAGCAGAUAAUCGUGUGGCCCAACCAAUAUCUAAGUCUUAGCCCAAAGUGAAGUCCAAGUCUGAUUCAGUUACGAAUGCUAUAGCCGAUUCUCCAAGCACGUGAUUUCUGUUAAUUAGUUAUACCUGAUUAUUGUUAUUAUUUUAUUUUAGUUUAUUCUAUUUUUGCCUAUAUAUAUGUAUCAGAGUCUCUCUUCUGGGUAUUGAAUAAAGAAAGAAAUAUUCAGCUUAUAUUUUUGGUUCUUCUCUUUGUUUAAACUCCGCCAGUGCUCGCCGUACAUGAUGAACACCAUGUCCUGACCUUUGCUGGUGAAUAUGUCGAAUACUACAUUUCGAGUUCAGGACCCGAACU